rnacentral:misc_RNA from 1 species
GAUGAAGACGCAGUGAAAUGCGAUAAGUAAUGUGAAUUGCAGAAUUCAGUGAAUCAUCGAAUCUUUGAACGCACAUUGCGCCCCUUGGUAUUCCGAGGGGCAUGCCUGUUCGAGCGUCAUUAUCACCCCUCAAGCUUUGCUUGGUGUUGGGGCCUGCUGUAAUAGGCAGCCCUUAAAAUCAGUGGCGGUGCUUCAAGGCUCUAAGCGUAGUAAUUCUCCUCGCUAUAGUGUCUAGUGGUUGCCAGCCAGAACCCCCCAAUUUUCAUGAUUGACCUCGGAUCAGGUAGGGAUACCCGCUGAACUUAAGCAUAUCAAUAAGCGGAGGA